rnacentral:rRNA from 1 species
CAAGUCGAACGAACCUUCGGGUUAGUGGCGGACGGGUGAGUAACGCGUGACAAUCUGCCCUCAGGAGGGGGAUAACGGUUGGAAACGACCGCUAAUACCCCAUAUGCCUACUGGUGAAAUGAAUUUCGCCUGAGGAUGAGCUCGCGUCUGAUUAGCUAGUUGGUGAGGUAAUGGCUCACCAAGGCUUCGAUCAGUAGCUGGUCUGAGAGGAUGAUCAGCCACACUGGGACUGAGACACGGCCCAGACUCCUACGGGAGGCAGCAGUGGGGAAUUUUCCGCAAUGGGCGAAAGCCUGACGGAGCAACGCCGCGUGAGGGACGAAGGCCUCUGGGCUGUAAACCUCUUUUCUCAAGGAAGAAGAUAUGACGGUACUUGAGGAAUAAGCCACGGCUAAUUCCGUGCCAGCAGCCGCGGUAAUACGGGAGUGGCAAGCGUUAUCCGGAAUUAUUGGGCGUAAAGCGUCCGCAGGCGGCUUUUCAAGUCUGCUGUUAAAGCGUGGAGCUUAACUCCAUCAUGGCAGUGGAAACUGAAAGGCUUGAGUAUGGUAGGGGCAGAGGGAAUUCCUGGUGUAGCGGUGAAAUGCGUAGAUAUCGGGAAGAACGCCAGUGGCGAAGGCGCUCUGCUGGGCCAUUACUGACGCUCAUGGACGAAAGCCAGGGGAGCGAAAGGGAUUAGAUACCCCUGUAGUCCUGGCCGUAAACGAUGAACACUAGGUGUCGGGGGAAUCGACCCCUUCGGUGUCGUAGCUAACGCGUUAAGUGUUCCGCCUGGGGAGUACGCACGCAAGUGUGA